GGGAAUGAGGCUUAGUGGUAGAGUGCUUGCCUAGCAUGCAUGAAGCCCUGGGUUCGAUUCCUCAGUACCA
rnacentral:tRNA from 1 species